AACAGAAAGGGGAGGGGGGCGGAACUGGCAGCGGGGGGCGUUCACCACCCCAGCUCCAGCGGAAGCACGGCUUGCCUGCUUUUAAAUCUCCUGUCCUCAGCAGAACCAGCUUCGACUGUAGCUGCAAGAAAAGAAGAAAGCGAACAACUCGUGGAGCUGGUCAGAGAGGAGCGCGGAAGCUCCCACAGACUAGGAGCAGAGACUCCGAGAGGAUGUUAACAAUCCAGUUCUAUCUGGUUGUGAUGACUUUAGUAUUCAAAGGGAGCACUGGGGUGUCGGUGAUGCAGACGCAAGGCCCCGUGAGUGUGUCCGAGGGGGAAGGUUUGAGGCUUAAUUGUAGCUAUGAUGAUGCUACAGUGUAUGCCGUCUUCUGGUACGCGCAGUUCCCCAGCCAGUCCCCCCGGUUCCUCCUGAGGGACCUGGGACGCGAGGACUCGGAUGAACGGAUCAGAAAAGGGUUCAGUGCCACCCACGAUAAAAAGGACAAAUCCUUCCACCUGUCGAAACUGGCCAGCGACCUGAGCGACUCCGGGACCUAUUACUGUGCCGUGAGCGACACAGUGACACGGGCCGGCAGAGGCGCUGAGCAAAAACCGCAUAGGGUCUGUGGGGAGCAGAGGGGAAGCGAGCACCGGGAGGGAAAGGGAGGAAUGUUGCAAACACAGAACUUGGAUCUCUGGUCACCGGCUUGAUCCAAUCCAGGGCUUCAUCUUUUGGAGACACUAUACGGAAUAGCAUGAACCAAAAUUAGCCUAACACCAAUACAGUCUGUCAAAGAAACACAAGCAAACUCGACCGGGAUCAUCAGGGGAAAGUUUACAGUCUACAGGGAAACUGGCAUUUUGGGGUGGAGGAAUAUUUAAGUGCCAAGGAGAGGAAAAUAGACCCAUAGACAGAGAGACAGACAGAAACAUGCUCCUUUGGCGCUAGUGCUGCUGUUGGAGCUGGUUUAUUGGCCGAUUUACCCCAAUCUCUUUCCGUU